rnacentral:rRNA from 1 species
UACGGAGGGUGCGAGCGUUGUCCGGAAUCAUUGGGCGUAAAGGGCGCGUAGGUGGCCCGGUCAGUUCGUGGUGAAAGCGCGGGGCUCAACCCUGCGUCGGCCAUGAAUACUGCCGCGGCUGGAGCACUGUAGAGGCAGGCGGAAUUCCGGUGGUGCUGGUCGGUGAAUGCGCAGAUAUCAGGAGGAACACCGAUGGCGAAGGCAGGUCACUGGGCCGCAACUGACGCUGAGGAGCGAAAGCAUGGGGAGCGAACAGG